UUUCGUCUCUCCUGUCAGGGGGCGGGGCUUGAGUUGAGCUCGGAUCAGUCGUGCGCGUAUCCGAGGAGCGACAAUCAGACUGGCUGCCUCUACUUCUUCUCUCCUUCUUCUCCUCACACUCGACCCAAGAGAUCAUGUCCCGUUACGACCCACAGGGUACAAUCAUGGAUGAAAUGGACUUUGAGCGGCGCCGGGAGCUGAGGAGGCAAAAGCGGGAGGAGAUGCGCCUGGAGGCUGAACGGUUGUCAAGGAACGACGAUGACGAGGAGGAGGCGGCCCGCGAGCGGAGGCGCCGGGCCCGCCAGGAGAGGCUGAGGGCCCGGGAGAUGGAAGACUCCAGCCCCCAGACCGACAGUCUGGUCGUGACCAACUGCCACAGCGUGCCAGAAAGCAUCUCGGUGAGCAGCUCUUUCGGAGGCGGCGGCGAGGACGAGGACCAAGCGCUGCUGGAGCGCAUGGCCCGGCGCGAAGAGCGCAGGCAGCGUCGCCUGAAGGAGGCGCUGGAGCAGCAGAGUCAGCCGAACGAGACGGAGGGCCGCGACGGCGACGGCGGCGAGAGGAGCAAAACGACGCAGGAGGACGAGGAGGAGGAGCAAAGGUCCUCCUUCUCCUGGCGUCGGGAGAAGACGUACAGCUCGUGGAGAGAGGAGAAGGAGCCUGAGGCGGCCGGAGAAGAAGAAGAAGAGGAGGAGGCGGCUCCCGAGGUGGAGAAAGUGAUGGAGGCGGAGCCGAGGAGAUUUUACUCCAGGGAAGAGUUUGACGAGAGAGGUCCGAGCAGGGAGGAGCAGAGGAAGCAGAACGGAGGCCUUCAUGAGGAGGAGGAGGAGCAGGCAGUGGUGGAGGAGGAGGAGGAGGCCACUCCAACACAGUACAGGAAAUCUGAGAGGACGCCCAGCCGAGGCGGCGCGCGUUCCCCCGAGGAGUUGGCCGACCAGGGGCCGGAUGACGACGACGACGAGGUCGUCCGCCUGGAGGCCGAACGCAAGCUGGAGGAGCUGAAGCGCCGCCGCGAAGACGCCGAGAGCGAGGAGUUUGAGCGCAUGCGGCAGAAGCAGCAGGAGUCCGAGGCCCAGCUGGAGGAGCUGAAGAGGAAGAGGGAGGAGAGGAGGAGGGUGGUGGAGGAACAGGAGAGCCAGAGGAAGCAGGAGGAGGCUGAGAGGAAAGCCAGAGACGAGGAGGAGAAGAGGAAGAUGAAGGAGGAGAUUGAGAGGAGGAGGGCGGAGGCGGCCGAAAAGAGGCAAAAGGUGGAGGAACCGGUGGAGGGCGACGAAAAACCCUUCAAGUGCGUCAGUCCUCGCGGCUCCUCCCUCAAGAUUGGAGAGCGUGCCGAGUUUCUCAACAAGUCGGCCCAGAGAAGCGCAGUAAAGAUGUCCCCUUGCCCUGUGGUGUCCAAGAUCGACAACCGACUGGAGCAGUACACCUCGGCCGCUCAGCGAGAGAACAAGGAGUCGCGAUCCCCUCGCUCGGGCGCCGUGGAUCUCCCGGCGGUGACGGACAGCAUACGCAACAUCAAGAGCAUGUGGGAGAAAGGCAACGUGUUCAGCUCGCCAGGAAGCAGCGGCAGCGCCUUUAAGGAAGCAGCUGUAAUAAAAACGGGCGUGGCGGGCCGCAUCAACGAAUGGAUGAAUAAAACCCCCGAGAGCGGCAAGGCGUCGGGAGGAAGGCCAUCGGACCUGAAACCUGUGGACGUGACCAACAAGAGGAGUUUAUGGGAAAACAAAGGCUCCUCUCCGGCCAAGAACUCUUCAUAGCUAGUUGAUGUACUCGCUACAAUAUGGAAAAAGCCUCCCGAGGCGUCGGGAAGAGGCGAGACCAAAUCAGUCACCAAUGGUAUGGGUCACUAAUGUCCAGAAGGAGCCACGACAAUCCAAGACUUUGGCUUGACGACCAAAAGAAGAAAAAAAAAUGGCCACCAUCCCAAAGAGGGACCCAGAAAGAAAAAAAAAAAAAGAUGUCUCAGCAUUGUACACAAACAUCACGUAUUUUGUUUUGGGUUUUUUUUUUCUUUUUUUUUGGGGGGGGGGUUUGGUUUGUUUUUCUUGUACGGUGGCCACUUAGGUGCCUUUGCACGUUUUAUAUUUGCGUUCUAAAAAGAAACCAAAAUGCUGUGAAAAUUGGAUAUUAUGACCAUGAAAUCUUCAAAAAGUAAUUGCAGUGAAGUUGAAAGAGUAGAUUCAUGCCAAGCUUUCCCAGGGUGACAUCGCUUCAACUCGUAAAGUUCCAUUCCAUCUCUCUUUAAUUUAUAUUUCAAGCAAAGAAGCUUCACGCUUUUUUUUUUUUCAUUCCAACCACUUUUGGGACAGAAAUAUAAGCACUUGUAGAAUUUAGCUCAAGUCACAUUUAUUAUGUCUUAACAAUAGCACAGCAACGGUCUGGGUAAUGUAUGUUAACUCAUCAUAUGGUCAUCAUACAGUGUCGUAUCUUAACAUUCUUUGUACUCACAACAAAAAACUAUUUUGCUUUUUUUUUUUGUAUUCAUGAACAUUCCACCAACAGGCAGUGUUGACUAUACAAAAAGGCCAUUAUGACUUUUUAUUAUCCUCUUAUUUAUGUUUGUUUUAUUUGUAGCUUCAGACAUUCCUCUUUAAAGCAGGUGCACGUGAUGCCUUCAGACUUUUAUAUGAAUAUAUAUAAAUGUAGGGGGGGGGGGGACGGCAAAGCAGCCAUUUUACCUUUAAUGACUUAAAAACAAUGUUAUUGCUUUUAUGCACGCUCAAGUAGAAAUCAGGGUGCCUCCCGCUAGUCCAAGGACGAGCCACUAUGUACUUUAUCAGGCCUUAUGAUUACAAUGAGAAGCUUAACGACCACGCAGGAAGGAAGUGUUUAUGUUCAGAAGAUUUUGAAUGAGGAUUUCUCAGUCUUAAAUCAGCUUCCAUUGAUUUCCGUUCCUGCUCCAACGUCAGACAAUCACAUUCCACGGCCUCGGAAAAGAGCAGGAGAGGCUCGACCAAAACAUUUUCUAUUGUAUGAAUGUGUUUCAAUGCAUUUUUUUUUUGUUUGUUUUAUACCUUUUGUCAAUGUUUCUUUUUAUGUUCUUGUUUAACCAGAAACUUUUGUGUUUAAGCGACGCAACACACCACACAUUGUCAUAUGUUAGUCUCUGUGAAGAACAUUCCCAAUGCCAUGCACGCUUCCAAGUGGUUGCAUGUUUUCAAAGCAUUGUACCACUGACGCAACAACGGAAUAAAGGCAUUGUGAUUUGA